rnacentral:rRNA from 1 species
CGUGUGCGAUGAAGGCCUUCGGGUUGUAAAGCACUUUUGGCAGGAAAGAAAAGGAUUGGGCUAAUACCCUGAAUUCGCUGACGGUACCUGCAGAAUAAGCACCGGCUAACUACGUGCCAGCAGCCGCGGUAAUACGUAGGGUGCAAGCGUUAAUCGGAAUUACUGGGCGUAAAGCGUGCGCAGGCGGUUCGGAAAGAAGGAUGUGAAAUCCCAGGGCUUAACCUUGGAAACUGCAUUUUUAACUACCGGACUAGAGUGUGUCAGAGGGAGUGUGGCAUUCCGCGUGUAGCAGUGAAAUGCGUAGAGAUGCGGCGGAACACCGAAUGGCUGAAGGCAGCCUCCUGGGAUAACAACUGACGCUCACGGCACGAAAAGCGUGGGGAGCACACAGGAUUAGAUACCCUGAUACUCCACGC